rnacentral:tRNA from 1 species
GUCGACGUAGCCCAACGGCAGAGGCAGCACGCUCAAACCGUGCGUGAUGGGGGUUCGAAUCCCUCGGUCGACACCA